rnacentral:rRNA from 1 species
ACUAGAAUGAAUGGCUAAAUGAGGACAAAACUGUCUCUUACACUCAACUAAUGAAAUUGAUCUUUCAGUACAAAAGCUGAAAUAAACCCAUAAGACGAGAAGACCCUGUGGAGCUUUUAAAUCAGCAACACUAUAAUGCUCACCUGAUUUUCAGUUGGGGCGACUUUGGAGUAUAAAAAACCCUCCAACACAAACUAACAUUAUUAAGAUUAACACAUCAAAUAUUACUUACCUGACCCAAUAAUUUAUGCCUUAAAUUAUUUGAUCAAUGGACCAAGUUACCCCAGGGAUAACAGCGCUAUCCCCCUCUAGAGUCCCUAUCGACAGGGGGGCUUACGACCUCGAUGUUGGAUCAAGACACCCUAAUAGUGCAGCAGCUAUUAAAG